UGGGAUCUUCCCAGACCAGGGAUCGAACCCGUGUCCCCUGCAUUGGCAGGCAGAUUCUCAACCACUGGGCCACCAGAGAAGCCCGACUUAUCACUUUUGAUUUUGACCUUGAUCACCCGGAUGAAAUAUUAUUUGUCACGUUUCUCCACUGUAAAGUUACUCCCUGCACACCGGCCUCCCCCAUUCUGCCCUCUUUGGAUGGAAAUCACUAUGCACAGCCUACACUCAAGGAAUCAGGAGACAGGCUUCGCCUCUGUGAGGGUGGAGUAUCUACAUAGUUUAUGUGGAAGUCUUCUGAACCACAGCCUUUUCUUUCUAGGAAUGUGUACUUGCGAUGGCUGAGUCAGCAAGCCAGGUUGGUACAGCCCUUCCCAGUGUGUGGUCCUGUGGACCCCCAUCUGUUGCUGUGAACAUUUAAGGCUGUGUAGAUUUAGUAUUUAGUAAAGUGAAAGCUCCGAGUCCUAACCAUUGCACCACCAGGAAAUUCCCUUAAUGUGCUUUUUUAAGGGCAUCACUUUGGGAAAAAAGUCAUUAUAUAUUGUAUUUUGUGCACAUAAUUGAAGGAAGAACUGUAUCACCAGAUCAAGGAUGAAGCUGUCUUCAAGAACAACCUGAACAGAAACUGAAUGAUGCCCGGAUUCUCAUCUCUCUCUCUCUCCACCUUCUGUAAGCUUUCACUUUGAACUUACGGUGAUGGUGGGGUGGGGGGAGAGGCAGGGGAAGAAUCUACUAUACAAAGAUCAAGAACUUUGGGGGUCAUUCAAAACUAGGUUCAGAUUCGGUUUUGCAAACUUAACUUGGACAUGUUAUUUAAUGGCUCAGAAGGGAUAAAGGUCUGCUCAGUAACAACUCUCUCUCAGGCUUUUUGGGGAGAAUUACGUGUAAUGAUAUACAUAGGCACUUCGCAUAGCAGCUGCCCUUAGUAGCCACUCAGUACAAAGUAUUGUUAUUAUUAUAAAUUUAAGAUAUUAUUUGAUGACAAGGCUUUCUUGCCUGCUCUUCUACCAUCCCCCUGGCUGAAAAGCAAGCAUGCAAAAAGUGCAAAGAUCAGCUUUAAUAGAUUCUAAGACGCCAUCAGUUGUAAGAUGGGUCAUUAUUUUAUGUACCACUGCAAAACAAAACAAAAUAUGCUGCCAAUUGUACUGUGGCUCACUUUCUUAUCACUUGAAGUUUCUAUUUUACACUUCUUGAAAAAGCUUUUUUAGACUUAUGUAGAUGUACAUUAUCAAAUAUCACUCUUGUGCACACAUAAACAGGAAGAUAUAACCAAAAUAACUAAAGUAGUCCUAAAACAACUUCACAUUCUGUGUCUGUCGACUGUGAAUCAUACAUCAACUCGGAGGCACUGGUGUCUGUUUUUUCACUGGUGUCUGUUUUUGUCAUCCUUUGUUCCAACGAAAGCAUCAGUGAGACAGUAUUUCUUAAAAAAAAAAGAUGCUCCACUAAUGCUAGAAUUCUAGAACUUUUUCCAAGUUGCUGAUACCCAUUCUGCCAUUCUGCAAAUUUUGAUGCUGCUAUUUUCAUGAUCUCACCAGAAAUCAAGUCAUCAAGGAAAACAACCAAAUUAAUGCACGUGCAAGCCACAUCAGUCUUCUCUGCUGCCUGGCCAAUGGCCAAUAGAAGGUACCAUCCAUGGUAUAAAGCUUUUCAAUUCCAGAGAUGUUAAAAUGUAAAAAACUAUGUGCAUCUAAGAAUUGAUGUACAAAUGGUAGAUGGUCUAUGUCAUUACACAUUCCUCACCUAGCAGAAAAGUCAUCAUAAAAUUAUUUGUAAUAGUGAGCUCAUCUAGUGCAUUAAUAAUAUUUGAAUAAUUGCUCUUUAGUUUGUAUAAAAUGAGGUGUACUUGUAUCGGUCUUUUUUUUUUUUUUUUUUUACAUCAACAGACAAUGGUAGGCUGAGCUUUUAGGCGAAAAACAACUUGCCCUGAGUGAAGGGAUGGUCUUCUUCAUUUGUAUUAACAUCUUACUCACAGAGAGACAAGUUGGUGCCAUUUGAAGAUACUUGAAACCUGCAGCUUUUUCUUGCCAAGAUUUGUUGUUAUACAUAAAAAUCAAGCAGCAGCAAGGUUUCAAUAUUUCAGUUAUUUCAAGAAUAAUUCCCUUCAGCUUUCAAGUCGAGGGCAUACUCAGGUCAAAUUCAGAAAAAUGAAGAAAUCUUAUAAAAAUAUUAUACACUUUCUGUUCCCACCAAUACUCUUUUUAAAAAAUUGAGAUAUAUUAUACAUAAAAUAAAAUGCACAGUUCUUAAAAGUUAAAUGGCAUAAACUCAUGCAACUACCACCCCAAUCAAGAAAUAGAAUGUUUCUAUCGUGACAAAAAGUUCCCUGGGCCUCUCUCCCAUCAAUCCCCCGUCCCUUCAACAUAAUCUAUCUUUUAACUUAAAUCAUGGGUCAACAACAUGUUGAAGUAUCAGAAAAAGAAAAGAGAAAAGAAAAGAAUCUUUUUAAAUGAUCAUGAGUUACACAGUGGAAAAUCUGAGUCCCAUAACUUCGAAUUAAUUACUACAGCUGCAUUGUUAUAUAUAAUACCCUGUUGUCAAGUGACAUUUUUAUUUUUAAAAUAAUGAGUAUUGGGCUUUCCUGGUGGCGCAGUGGUUGAGGGUCCGCCUGCUGAUG